ensembl:lncRNA
UGCUAACGUGCUGCAGGAAACCAAAUUUAAAAAUGUAGAAGUCGCUGGGCUGCAUUCCUCGGAGGACGAGCCUGAUCGCCCAGGACCGAGUGUGGCAGCGUGUGGGAAGUUGGGACCAUAGAGCAAGGGGGGAGGGGAGUGGUGCAGCCGGCAUUCUCUUCUGAAAGGAGUCAUUGGGAGCAGUGACCGGUUGGACACAAGUUUGCCUGGGAGUGUUUUCCUUUCGUCAAUAAUUAAUCGCCGGCAUCAGGCUGACAGAAUUGGAGUUUUAGCAAUAGUGCAGAGGGCGGGGCCGAACACCUAAGUCCAGGAGCUUUGAGGUGCCCAGCGCAGUAGGAAGCUCGCAGCAGUUGGGGAGGAGCCAAAGCACUGGUGCUCACCUAAGCCGCAGGAGAUAUACCCAACCCAACCGGGAGAUGAAGAAACUGCAACCCAGAGAGGAGAAGUAAUACACACAGAAUCAUUCCCCAGGGGAAACAAGGACAAGACCCCAGACCUGGACUCUCCUAGGUACGUAAAUUCUUCUGGUUAUAUCAUGGAGUAUUGUUUUUAGAAAUCUGCCCCUUUUCCU